CUGGUCAUCUUAAAAUUUUGUAAAAUAGUAAAAUUUAGCAAAAUUGAUACUAGAAAAUUUAUGAAAAUAUCUUGGCUUUCUCUUAGUAGUUUUUGUAGGCUCUUAAGAGUGUAUCAUUAAGCUUUAGCGUAACAGAUUCUUUUGAAUCAAGUACUGGAAUCAGUUGUCCAGGUGGAGUAAUACAGAAAAGCUAAGGUCUAGAAACCAGGGGACCAUUUUAGAUACAAAGCAGAAUUGCGGAAUUGCCAGAUUAUAACUUGAGGUUUGUUCGGGGGAUUUUUUUUUUAACCAUCUAAAAUAAGUGUAUAUAAGAUGGACUGAGUCUUCUAAAGAGAUUCUAAAACUGUAUUCUUACUUAAGUCUGAACAGGAAUUAAGAAUAACUCAAAGUGAAUUUGAUCGUCAAGCAGAGAUUACCAGACUUCUGCUAGAGGGAAUCAGCAGUACACAUGCCCAUCACCUUCGCUGUCUGAAUGACUUUGUAGAAGCCCAGAUGACUUACUACGCACAGUGUUACCAGUAUAUGUUGGACCUCCAGAAACAACUGGGAAGAGACAGAGUUUCACUCUUCCAGCCCAAGGUGGAGU
rnacentral:sRNA from 1 species